UUUUUAAUUGGCUGUGAAAGUUCAGCUCAACAGCUUACCAGGUACAUUAUUAACUGGCAAACACUUCUUUGACUUUGCUAGUUAAAGUUUAGAAAAGAACAUUCCCAUUAACAUAUAAUUUCUCCAGCAACUCCGCGAACAACCCAGAGAGCAUUUCAUCAGGGCAAACCUCAACUAGCAACUUCCUCCUCUCCCCCACUCAGAGUAUUCAAACUGGUUUCUGUUCUUCUGGAGCAGACAGGUCCCUCCGGAUGCUGCUGUCCAACUCUGCUUCUGCCCGGCCAUCUGGGGUGGUUCGUCCUAUGCUGUGUCAGAUUAGUGCAACACACUGCCAGAACUGCUGCACGCCCAGCCGUCUCCUCUGAAGGGCAGCUUUGUGUUUCUUGCUUGCAAAGGAAGAAAACUGUUUUUGCAGCUGAACAAUAAUGUGGAGCUUUCGGUAGAGCCACAGAGGCCAAAAGCCACUCAGCAUGCCACCCCCUCACCAUCAAGAAUGCCUGCAUGCAGGAGGCUGGCACAAUCAACCUAUAACCUCAGCAAGGCUCACAGGGACUUCCAAUCCCCUGCUUGCCACCCUACACCACUGAAGAGUUCUCAGGAAACUGCUAGUGCCUGGCAGCCUUUGGAAAUGGACUUAUGCUUUCUCUAGUAUACCGCCCAUACCCACCCACACCCACAAGUUCUUGAUAUCUAAUCUGGAUCCUUCCUACUUCAACUUAAGUCCAUCUGGGGCUUCAGUAGGAAAGCAGACUCCCUGAUGCCCUUCUUGGCAAGCUCUAACUUACCAUGAAGCAGAAGGCUGACCUCAUAAGUCACAACAACAACAAAAACUGUAGAGGUUUGGGGGGGUGGUGGAAGGAGGUAGGAGAAGACUCUGGCUCUUUAAAUGCAGCUGAUGGCCUGGAGAUACUGCAUUCCCUCAUCUCCUCCCCCUCCCCGCUACAUGUCAAUCACGUCUAUCACCUGACUUCAGAGUACACUGAGCUGGAAGGAGACCAGUAUGCCACUUGACAGAUUUAGGGCUAAAGGGUCUCAACAGGCUGAUUCUCUGGACCCAAUACAGCCAUAUGAAAUCUGACAGGGAUAAGCUUAAAAAUGUAAAUUUGAGUCCAAAAUAUCCCAGCAGUAAUAGUACAAGAGGGGAGAGAGACGCUGAACAGCAGCAUUUGACAUAACAUGACUACACAUUAAUAGGGAACCUAUUUUGAUUUUAGGUUACAUUAGUACAAGUAUAAUGUCAACAAAAACAGAGAUGGUGAUUCUACUCUCUUCUAAGCUGGCCAGACACCACCUAGCAUACAGUGCUCAGUCCUGCAUAUCACAGUAUAAUAGGCAUGCAUUGUUUACAUACUUUUCUUCAGUGACACUCCCCACAUUGUCAGGUUGCAGCUGUCGGCUACCCAAGGGGUACUCAUCCAAGGGGGAGCCCAGAAUCCAAUUAGGGUCAAUCAAAAUCUUCCCUAAGAAGUGAUAUACAGAGCCUAGGAGAGUAAGCACCUCUCUUCCUUGGCAAAAGUGUUAAUAGAAUUGAAAGAUGGAGAAAAAGCAAAGCCCUCAAAGUCCCUGUGACCUUUGGGGUCCAACAGUGCAAAGGCCAGAUCAGAUCAACCCUUGGAGUUUCCAGUUACUAGAACUGAUACAUUUCCUUUUCUGUUUAAGCUACUUUGAGCUGGGUUUCUGUCACUUCCAACCUGAAGUACAGAUUAAUACACACUUUAAGAGGAUUACCAAUAAAGUACAGUAUGUCCAGAGAUUUACCAAAGACAGUGAAUAAAUGAAAAACCAUGUUUCAUGAGCAAACAAGGAUGAUUUAACUCAGAAAAGGGCACAUUUAUGGCCACAUGGGAGCCUCUCUGAAUAGUUAAGAAGGAAACUUGUUCUAUGUGGGGCCAGAGAGCAGACCCAUGACAUGGGGGGAAGUUACAGAACGUGCAAUUUCUGGAAAGUCUGAAGAGUACAACAAAACUGAUAAACCUGAAUCCAUCCCCUAUUGUAUUCAUUCUAACUCACUGGAUUAAAGUGAUUCCCUUUAUCAUUCCAAAGUACUUCCUUAUUAUGACAAACUGCAACUUCUAUAAACCUCAGCUUCCAAUCUACACAAUGGAGAUAAAAAUCUCUCCCAAACAAGCUUUAGAGAGUUAUUUCAGGGAACAAAAGAGAAAAUGUAAAUGGAGAGUGAAUGAUGUCCUAGGACACAUCAAUGACUCUUCCAAGAUUUUAUCUGAAGGAAACGACCAGAGAUGUUCAUAAAGGCAAGGAAGGGGGGUGUUUAUAACAGCAUCAUGCAUAAUAAUGAAAAAAAAAAAACUGGAAACUAUUGUCCAAGAUUUGAGGAUCACUCGUAAAAAACUAGAUCCUAUAGAAGAACAAUUAAUGAUGAGAGAAAGGUCUACAAAAGAUCAGUGAAAGAUACAAGAAUCAAUACCACAUGUACAACACAAUCCCAAGUUUACAAAAGUUUAUGAUACAUUUGCAAAGAAAAAGA